GUGCUUGCUUCGGUAGCACAUAUUCUAAAAUUGGAACGAUACAGAGAUUAACAUGGCUCCUGCACAAGGAUGACACAAGAUUAAUUUGAGGGGCCGAAGAGACAG